UCCCUGAUGGUCCAGUGGGUUAAGACUCUGAACUUCUAAUACAGGGGCCUCUGGUUCGAUCCCUGGUUGGGAAU
rnacentral:tRNA from 1 species